rnacentral:rRNA from 1 species
CCUACGGGUGGCAGCAGUGAGGAAUAUUGGUCAAUGGACGAAAGUCUGAACCAGCCAAGUAGCGUGAAGGAUGACUGCCCUAUGGGUUGUAAACUUCUUUUGUAUGGGAAUAAAAUGUUCCACGUGUGGGUGUUUGUAUGUACCAUAUGAAUAAGGAUCGGCUAACUCCGUGCCAGCAGCCGCGGUAAUACGGAGGAUCCGAGCGUUAUCCGGAUUUAUUGGGUUUAAAGGGUGCGUAGGUGGAUUUAUAAGUCAGUUGUGAAAGUUUGCGGCUCAACCGUAAAAUUGCCGUUGAAACUGGCAGUCUUGAGUACAGUAGAGGUAGGCGGAAUGCGUGGUGUAGCGGUGAAAUGCUUAGAUAUCACGCAGAACUCCGAUUGCGAAGGCAGCUCACUGGACUGCAACUGACACUGAGGCACGAAAGUGUGGGUAUCAAACAGUAUUAGAUACCCGUGUAGUC